rnacentral:lncRNA from 1 species
CGAUCCCAGGACAGUCCCAGGACAAUCCCAGGACAAUCCCGGGGGAUGUGGUCGAUCCCAGGACAAUGUG